CCGAGCAUUGGCUGGGGUAUCAUUGUAAAUAAGAAUUUGUUCUCAACUGACUUGCCUAGUUAAAUAAAUAACCACUGUGACACUUGUACGUGGGGUGAAACAUUUAGCAACUUCUACCAAUCUUGCAGUGGCACUCUCUUGAGAAUGUUUCCGCCUCAUUUGAUUAUUUCUAAUGACAGGAAGUGGAUCCUCAUUACCAGAACAUUCUUUGAGGAAUCAACCAUUCCACUACGAAGUGGCUGAUUUUGCGUCUGUCAUUGACACGUCCAAGGAGAAACUGAUGCUGAUCCAAGCCCGGGAGGACCUGCUGCUCAGAGGGGUGGACUUUGACCAUACGGCUAACACGUACCACACCACCUGUCCAGUCCUGUCCAGUGGAGCAGUUCCACAGCAUGUUUGCAGGGGAGUUUUCCUACAUCAGCAUGGCCAGCAACGUCCACCUCUCUGCACAUUCUUCCCCCUGUGAAGAUUCAUAACGUGCAGCAGUAUCGAACAGAAGUAUGUAUGACCCUCUGCACCUGAUCCGGCCUAGCUCUGCCUCCAGUGACCUGCAUAUCUACUACUACAGCAUCGCAGACUACUUCUGCCCCCUGCUGGUCUACCACGAUACCCCCUGGAUACCCUCCAUGGAGCUCUACUAUAUGCUGACCACUACAUUCAGUGUGCACAGGGCAUUCCUUCCUCGCCCUCUGCCAUCUGGUGUGGCACUGGGCAUCUUCCCGGCCAUCUUUGUGGUCCUGCUGCUCAUCGGCUUUCUCCUCAGCCAGCGCGCUCACCCAAAAAAUAGGAUGGACACACACUUUACACAAAGCGCAACACAUUCAGAUGUUUUUUGUCAAACACACUCACAAUACAUCCCAAAACAGAAAAAAACACGCAUGUCCUCUGAGCAGCGUGAAAUAAAUGUGAUGAGCUGUUCAGCAUGUACUCUGUCAGUAACUGAUCCCCGUCUUGCCUUUUUGUCUUGUUUUUGAUUGAUUUAGAAACUGUUUUCAGUUUUAGGAACACAUUUAGUUGAUCUGAAAUCUGUUGAUAUUGGAAGUAACACAUUUGCAUAAAGCCAUUUUAGUGCUACCUUUGUAUGUUUUGCUUGAAGAAAAUAAAAUGCUUCGAGA